AGUUCCUGGUAGUGGGCAAAGGGAUUUCUGUUGUUGGUGUUAUUCUUGUAUCAAUCAGGGACAGAGCAGAUGGCAGCCCUUUGUUCACCCUAGCUUGACACCUGGCUUGGUGACCAAACCUGUUUUAUGCCUAGGACACAUAA
rnacentral:snoRNA from 1 species